CCUACGGGUGGCUGCAGUGAGGAAUCUUGGACAAUGGGCGAAAGCCUGAUCCAGCCAUGCCGCGUGAGUGAUGAAGGCCUUCGGGUUGUAAAGCUCUUUUAGAUGUGAAGAUGAUGACGGUAGCAUCAGAAAAAGCUCCGGCUAACUCCGUGCCAGCAGCCGCGGUAAUACGGAGGGAGCGAGCGUUGUUCGGAAUUACUGGGCGUAAAGCGUAUGUAGGCGGCUUUGUAAGUCAGAUGUGAAAGCCCCGAGCUUAACUUGGGAACUGCAUUUGAGACUGCAAGGCUUGAAUGUCGGAGAGGUUGGCGGAAUUCCCAGUGUAGCAGUGAAAUGCGCAGAUAUUGGGAGGAACACCGAUGGCGUAAGCAGCCAACUGGACGACGAUUGACGCUGAGAUACGAAAGCGUGGGGAGCAAACAGGAUUAGAUACCCCUGUAGUC
rnacentral:rRNA from 1 species